rnacentral:rRNA from 1 species
ACUGCUCAGUAACACGUGGAUAACCUGCCCUGCGGUGGGAAAUAACCCCGGGAAACUGGGGAUAAUGUCCCAUAGGCUACGGAUGCUGGAAUGCUCUGUAGCUCAAAGAUUUAUCGCCACAGGAUGGGUCUGCGGCCGAUUAGGUAGUUGUUGGGGUAACGGCCCAACAAGCCUUUGAUCGGUACGGGUUGUGGGAGCAAGAGCCCGGAGAUGGAUUCUGAGACACGAAUCCAGGCCCUACGGGGCGCAGCAGGCGCGAAAACUUUACAAUGCGGGAAACCGUGAUAAGGGAACUCCGAGUGUCCGUAAAUGCGGACUGUCCGUAUGUUUAAAAAGCAUGCGAAGAAAGGGCCGGGCAAGACCGGUGCCAGCCGCCGCGGUAAUACCGGCGGCUCGAGUGGUGGCCACUAUUACUGGGCUUAAAGCGUUCGUAGCUGGGUUGUUAAGUCUCUUGGGAAAUCUACCGGCUUAACCGAUAGGCGUCCAAGGAAUACUGGCAAUCUAGGGACCGGGAGAGGUGAGGGGUACUUCAGGGGUAGGAGUGAAAUCCUGUAAUCCUUGGGGGACCACCUGUGGCGUAGGCGCCUCACCAGAACGGCUCCGACAGUGAGGGACGAAAGCUGGGGGAGCAAACCGGAUUAGAUACCCGGGUAGUCCCAGCCGUAAACGAUGCGCGUUAGGUGUAUCGAUGACCACGAGUCAUCGAGGUGCCGAAGGGAAACCGUGAAACGCGCCGCCUGGGAAGUACGGUCGCAAGGCUGAAACUUAAAGGAAUUGGCGGGGGAGCAC